rnacentral:rRNA from 1 species
UGGGGAAUAUUGCACAAUGGGCGCAAGCCUGAUGCAGCCAUGCCGCGUGUAUGAAGAAGGCCUUCGGGUUGUAAAGUACUUUCAGCGGGGAGGAAGGGAGUAAAGUUAAUACCUUUGCUCAUUGACGUUACCCGCAGAAGAAGCACCGGCUAACUCCGUGCCAGCAGCCGCGGUAAUACGGAGGGUGCAAGCGUUAAUCGGAAUUACUGGGCGUAAAGCGCACGCAGGCGGUUGAUUGAGUCAGAUGUGAAAUCCCCGGGCUUAACCCGGGAAUUGCAUCUGAUACUGGUCAGCUAGAGUCUUGUAGAGGGGGGUAGAAUUCCAUGUGUGGCGGUGAAAUGCGUAGAGAUGUGGAGGAAUACCGGUGGCGAAGGCGGCCCCCUGGACAAAGACUGACGCUCAGGUGCGAAAGCGUGGGGAGCAAACAGG